CAGUCCGCGGUAAUACGAAGGUCCCAAGCGUUGUUCGGAAUCACUGGGCGUAAAGGGAGCGUAGGCGGCGUGGUAAGUCAGAUGUGAAAUCCCGGGGCUCAACCCCGGAACUGCAUCCGAUACUGCCAUGCUUGAGGGUUGGAGAGGUAGCUGGAAUUCUCGGUGUAGCAGUGAAAUGCGUGGAUAUCGAGAGGAACACUCGUGGCGAAGGCGAGCUACUGGACAACAUCUGACGCUGAGGCUCGAAGGCUAGGGUAGCGAAAGGGAUUAGAUACCCCCGUAGUCCCUGUCUCUUAUACAC
rnacentral:rRNA from 1 species